UCUCGGCUCAGCUUCCUGAGAAAGUGGAGCUAUAGAUGUUCACCACCAUGCCUGCUACUUUACUUUUUAACAUUUUGUAGAGAUGGGUCUUCCUGUGUUGCCCACACUGGUCUCAAAUGCCUGGGCUCAAGCGAUCCUCCUGCCUCAGCCUCCCAAAGUGCUAGGAUCACAGGCAUGAGCCAGCACGCCCAGCCCUAAUUAUUGUACUAUUGUCUUAGCUCUAAAGGAAACUGUAUGCUCCCCAAGGGUAGAGACUAUCUUCCAAUUGGAGAUUUAAAUGCGUAUCGAUCAGAAUACCGCGCUGCAGGAAAAAUACACAAAGAAGAACAAGGAAGCCCUUAAAGUACCAGUGUGGAACAAUCACCAAGAUAUAUCACUAAGCGGAAACAUAACUCUGCAAGAAUACGAAUAUACAGGAAGACACUCUCUCAAUGCUGGGCAGCAGCAGUGAGCCUCAGAUCUCAGUCAGCCCCAUGAUCACGAGGCUAAACUAUUGACACUCUGCAAUGUGUUGUGUGGCCAGAUGAUUUUGCCCUACUGUAGGCUAAUGAUCUGAGGGUAUUUUUCUGCCUUUCAGCUGUGGCCAGCUGUGUUUUAUCCCAGCAAGUCUAGAUCCGACAUUGUCUUUUCAGAAUUUUAGCAGCAGUAUCAUGACAGC